rnacentral:rRNA from 1 species
GAGACUCUGUGCGCGUGCAUAUCAAUAAGCGGAGGAAAAGAAACUAACAAGGAUUCCCUUAGUAACGGCGAGUGAAGCGGGAAGAGCUCAAAUUUGAAAUCUUCAAGGUUUUACCUUGACGAAUUGUAGUUUAAAGAAGUGUUUUCUGUUGAAGUUUUGGUAAAAGUUCUUUGGAAUAGGACAUCAUAGAGGGUGAGAAUCCCGUAUUUGACCAUUAUUUUCAGCUGUGUGAUACACUUUCAAAGAGUCGGAUUGUUUGGGAAUGCAGUCCAAAAUGGGUGGUAAAUUUCAUCUAAAGCUAAAUAUUGGCGAGAGAGACCGAUAGCGAACAAGUACCGUGAGGGAAAGAUGAAAAGAACUUUGAAAAGAGAGUUAAACAGUACGUGAAAUUGUCAAAAGGGAAGCGUUUGACACCAGUGUUGUUUUCUCGAAAAUCAAUUAAAAAAAGUUGGAUUUUGUGUUGUAUUGACCUUAACAGCUUGCUUCACUCUUUUCCUGCUUUUUUUUAAUGCACUUUUCGUUUAACAAGUCAACAUCAGUUUCUUUUGUUAUAAAAGGGUCAUUGGAAGGUGGCUUUCUCUUUCGGAGAAAGUGUUUAUAGCCUUUGAUCUCUGCAAUCGGAGAGACUGAGGUCUGCAGCGUAGAUCCUUCGGGGUUCAGAUACAUUUGUGCUAAGUUAUAACUUUCUCAUAGACAACUUGUUGACUAUGUUUAGUCAUGUAGCUUACUCGCUUAUGCUAUUUUACCUACGCUUAGGAUGUUGAAUCUGUGCGAGACUAC